UAGGGAAUUUUCGGCAAUGGGGGAAACCCUGACCGAGCAAUGCCGCGUGAGUGAAGACGGCCUUCGGGUUGUAAAGCUCUGUUGUAAGGGAAGAACGGUACUGAGAGGGAAUGCUCAGUGAGUGACGGUACCUUACCAGAAAGCCACGGCUAACUACGUGCCAGCAGCCGCGGUAAUACGUAGGUGGCAAGCGUUAUCCGGAAUUAUUGGGCGUAAAGGGUGCGUAGGCGGCUUGAUAAGUCUGGAGUAAAAGCCCGUGGCUCAACCACGGUAAGCUUCGGAAACUGUUAAGCUAGAGUGCAGGAGAGGACAAUGGAAUUCCAUGUGUAGCGGUAAAAUGCGUAGAUAUAUGGAGGAACACCAGUGGCGAAGGCGGUUGUCUGGCCUGUAACUGACGCUGAAGCACGAAAGCGUGGGGAGCAAAUA
rnacentral:rRNA from 1 species